rfam:TPA: Bos taurus chromosome X, whole genome shotgun sequence.
UCCCUGGUGGUCCAGUGGUUAGGACAUGGUGCUCUCACUGCCAGGGCCCUGGUUUGAUCCCUGGUCAGAGAA